rnacentral:sRNA from 1 species
AAAUUUUUGUUCAAAGUACAAUUACAACUCUUUUUAAAAUAUAACUGGUAUGAUCUCUGUUGUACUCACAUAACUAUUUGCGUAUUUGAUCUGUCAUAGUUGAUUUUGUAAAAUCUUUUAUUU